rnacentral:rRNA from 1 species
UGGGGAAUAUUGCACAAUGGGCGCAAGCCUGAUGCAGCCAUGCCGCGUGUAUGAAGAAGGCCUUCGGGUUGUAAAGUACUUUCAGUCGGGAGGAAGGUGGUAAGGUUAAUAACCUUAUCAAUUGACGUUACCGACAGAAGAAGCACCGGCUAACUCCGUGCCAGCAGCCGCGGUAAUACGGAGGGUGCAAGCGUUAAUCGGAAUUACUGGGCGUAAAGCGCACGCAGGCGGUUGAUUGAGUCAGAUGUGAAAUCCCCGGGCUUAACCCGGGAAUUGCAUCUGAUACUGGUCAGCUAGAGUCUUGGAGAGGGGGGUAGAAUUCCAUGUGUAGCGGUGAAAUGCGUAGAGAUGUGGAGGAAUACCGGUGGCGAAGGCGGCCCCCUGGACAAAGACUGACGCUCAGGUGCGAAAGCGUGGGGAGCAAACAGG